rnacentral:rRNA from 1 species
AUUGAACGCUGGCGGCAUGCCUUACACAUGCAAGUCGAACGGCAGCACGGGAGCAAUCCUGGUGGCGAGUGGCGAACGGGUGAGUAAAGUAUCGGAACGUGCCCAGUCGUGGGGGAUAACGUAGCGAAAGUUACGCUAAUACCGCAUACGAUCUAUGGAUGAAAGCGGGGGAUCGCAAGACCUCGCGCGAUUGGAGCGGCCGAUAUCAGAUUAGGUAGUUGGGGGGGUAAAGGCUCACCAAGCCGACGAGCUGUAGCUGGUCUGAGAGGACGACCAGCCACACUAGCGUGGAGAGACGGCCCAGACUCCUACGGGAGGCAAGAUGGGGGUACUUUGGACACUGGGCGAAAGCCUGAUCCAGCCAUGCCGCGUGCAGGAUGAAGGCCUUCGGGUUGUACACUGCUUUUGUACGGAACGAAACGGUUUGGCCUAAUAAGCUGAGCUCAUGACGGUACCGUAAGAAUAAGCACCGGCUAACUACGUGCCAGCCGCCGCGGUAA